GAGCUCUGGAGUUGGCUGUUCCCUGCUAGAAGCACAAGAUGCCCUAGAAAUGACAAUUGAAAGUUUGAGAAGCUAAGAAAUGCUUUGUGAAAAAAAAAGUACAGCUCAGGGUUUCCAAAGAAGGAGGAGUAAAGCUGGGGAUCCUAAUAACUGAACACACAGGGCUGGAGAUAGGUUCUAAUUCAGAGGUGGAGAAGUCAGGGUAAUGUGAAUUCCGACUCCUGUAAUCUGGCUUAAGGGGCCUAGAUUUCUUUUGGCCCCAGUCACCACUCAUUGGAUGUACAUCCUCUCUAGACAUAGUUUUAAGGUGUUGUUGUAAAAAUAUAAGAAAUAUAAAAGUAUUGGUUGUCUUUUACCUCACUAGGUCCGGCACCUCAGUGUCCCAAGAUAUCUUCUAAAUAUGUUGGAAGAAACACAUCCCAACUCCGCGGUGGCCCAGUGUCUCUUGCUGCCGCACACUUUCCUACAUUCAAACUGUCACAUAAAAGAACACAAUAAUCUUUGACCCAAUUGAUAAGAUAUAAUUGACCACCUAAACAUACAAAGCCCAGUACCAUCCAUCCCUUAAGAACAUUUGUAACAACCUGUGAAGCUGGAGGCAACUUCCUAAGUCAUUCCCCUGAUUCAUAACUCAGGGAGCUUUCGAUGAAGUCUGCUCAACCAUUCCACAUGGUCAAGACCUACAACUAGAAGGCUUACAAGUGACUGGACGCAAAGAAUGCUGGUCCAUAUCUCAACUUGGAAGAAAGCAAAAGGCCCUCCUCAUGGUAUUUCAACCUCUAUAUCUUAGGAUAGCAGGCAAAUGUUUUAUACUCUAAAUGUCUUUAAGCAUUUUCUUAAAGUUUACUCUUGGAUUUUCCUUACAUAAUUCAUUUUCACUACAACUUAGAUGAAUAAAAGUAAUUAGGUGUCUAAAAACUAGAGCAGACUGCUUAAUUAAUGGUAGAUUAUAGAAUCUAUAUUAGGGUCCUCUUUUAUAGCGAUUUUUAUUUAUCCAGCUUUGUUGUUAUUUGCCUGUUUGCAGGGUUUGAGUUUGUUUGUUGGUUGUUUGUUUGUUUGUUUUUAAGACAUGGUUUCUUUAUUGUGUAGCCCUAGUUAUCCUGGAACUCAAAACUCACUGUAGAAGAGGCCAACCUCAAAUUCAUAGAGAUCCAUUUGUCUCUGCCUCUGCCUCUGCCUCAAGUGUUGGGAUAACCUGAUAUGCCAACAUACCCACAUAUAAACCAACUUUGGAUUUUAGUGGUUGUAUCAUGUGCUGGAGAGACAGCUUAACACUUAAAAGCACUUGCAAUUCUUCCAGAAGACCUGAGUUUGGAUCCGAACAACUACACUAGGAGACUCAC
ensembl:lncRNA